rnacentral:rRNA from 1 species
GAUCCUGGCUCAGAACGAACGCUGGCGGCAUGCCUAACACAUGCAAGUCGAACGAGACCUUCGGGUCUAGUGGCGCACGGGUGCGUAACGCGUGGGAACCUGCCUUAGGUUCGGAAUAACUCAGAGAAAUUUGAGCUAAUACCAUAUAAUGUCUUCGGACCAAAGAUUUAUCGCCCUGAGAUAAGCCCGCGUAGGAUUAGCUAGUUGGUGGGGUAAAGGCUCACCAAGGCGACGAUCCUUAGCUGGUCUGAGAGGAUGAUCAGCCACACUGGGACUGAGACACGGCCCAGACUCCUACGGGAGGCAGCAGUGGGGAAUAUUGGACAAUGGGCGAAAGCCUGAUCCAGCAAUGCCGCGUGAGUGAUGAAGGCCUUCGGGUCGUAAAGCUCUUUUACCAGGGAUGAUAAUGACAGUAUCGGGAGAAUAAGCUCCGGCUAACUCCGUG